rnacentral:rRNA from 1 species
CCUACGGGAGGCAGCAGUGGGGAAUCUUGCACAAUGGGGGAAACCCUGAUGCAGCGACGCCGCGUGAGCGAUGAAGCCCUUCGGGGUGUAAAGCUCUUUCGGCAGGAACGAUUAUGACGGUACCUGCAAAAGAAGCUGCGGCUAACUACGUGCCAGCAGCCGCGGUAAUACGUAGGCAGCAAGCGUUGUUCGGAGUUACUGGGCGUAAAGAGUAUGUAGGCGGUUUGCUAAGUCUGGUGUGAAAUCUCCCGGCUCAACUGGGAGGGUGCGCCGGAUACUGGCAGGCUGGAGUGCGGGAGAGGGAAGCGGAAUUCCUGGUGUAGCGGUGAAAUGCGUAGAGAUGUGGAGGAACACCAAUGGCGAAGGCAGCCCCCCGGGCCAAUACUGACGCUCAUGCACGAAAGCGUGGGUAGCAAACAGGAUUAGAUACCCUGGUAGUCCACGCCCUAAACGAUGUCAACUAGGUGUUGGGUGGGUAAAACCAUUUAGUACCGGAGCUAACGCGUGAAGUUGACCGCCUGGGGAGUACGGCCGCAAGGUUAAAACUCAAAUGAAUUGACGG